GUAGACUUUGAGGAACGAAGAUCGUAUCGUGACGGAUACGUCCAAGUGUCUUAACUUCGAAUUUUGGCAAUUUUGUAUUCUGCACUGUAACUGUGCUAAUUUACACCUCGGUAUAAGAAAUGAUUACUGGCUUAUUGGCUGUAUGAGACAAUCUGUAUAUAAUAGAACUGAGCAGGAGGCAAAGAUUAUAAAUAUCAUAUCGCAGUACAAAGACGUUUCUGACACUUACGCUGCCGAAUCUCUCGAUGGAUAGCUUGAUCACGCCGCCAGCCGUCAUCUGUACCGGCUUCUGAGCUCUUAUCACCAUAGUCAGCAAGAGUCCGCCGAUUCGAGCAUCGAGAGACAUCAGAGUUGCGAAAUAUGCAGCGGUUGCUACUUCUUCGCUCUGACAUGCAAUGGGUAUUUAUUUAUUUAUAUAUGGAUCGUAUUUCUAUGUGUUUCUACCUGUUCCAGAAGGUAAUCGGAGGCCCACUGGGUGAUGAACAACUGACAGAGGCAAAGCACGAGGUUGGGAAUGUACUGAAAACGCUCGGGAUCGGUCUGCGCAGAGUUUCAGUGUUUCAAUAAAGAAAUUAAUAUAGUACUAGCUGAUAGCGAAUGAACUAUGUCUUACUCCUGUAAGCUUCAGACCGAUGAGAGAUAUGUUGUAGCCGAGACAAAUGAGUUGGACCAUGAAAAUCAUCCGUGUCAUCACCUCGAUUUUCUUGCAGAGACUGUGACAGAGAAUCAUUUCGUUCCUGGCCGCAGCUGCGAAAAAGCGCUCUUGCAGGGCCUUGAAGAAGCCGCAGCUGAUCAUCAUGAGAAGAGGUCCAGCCGUAUCAACGGUCGCGGCUAUCACGGUCAAGUGAUGGGUGAUCAAGACUUGCAGUCCGAAAAUCAACUCGUAGCCUAGCCAGUGAUACUCCCGAUCUUCGAUAAACCACCUUCGCGAAUGACAAGGAUCGACGUGACCAGCUUCAGCUUGAUCCCGUAAAUAUACAUCAGUAGAGCCAGAUGCUCGAUGAUUUUGUCCAUGUGGACGCCGAAGUUCUUCUUCAGCCCGUACAGCUGCGGAAAUAUCAAGAUACGAAUGUGUUAUUUCCCAACCACAUCAUCCCUUUGGAUAAUCUUACUUGAGGCAUCGACGAGACAAAAAUGAAUACCACCAGGAAAGUACGCACGAGAAACUUCUUCAAAGGAUGCUGAUAAGGCCACAGUCCCAUCUUCGUCAUCAGUGUCUUGUUUAUUAUAAAAUAUCUGCUGUCGUAUAUCUCCAUCUCUGCAGUUCACAGCGAAGUCAAAUCGUUUCGAACAAUGGAGACGCUCGACUCGUCGCAAUGUUACAUUAUUUAUAAACGCCGCAGUUACAGCACCCCGCCCCUAAUGAAGCGAUUUUACAUUCACUGUGCGAACAAAGGCUCGAGUAAUGGUGGCGCAUUUGCAUGCGUAACUAGCUGCCCUUUCGAGGAAGAGCGGAUUUCAUAUAUCUAGAGAUUUUUAUAUUCAAAGCGUACACGUCAGAGUACUUAUGCGUAAAUUUAUCAUGACGCAAAAAGGGCUAGGAACGCUCGUGUCGCAAUUUUGUGAACGUGUUUUACAUAUCCGCUUCUGGGGUGGAUAUAGCUUUAACUGUACUCAUCAGAUAUUCUGAAAAUCGCUGUAAUUUUAUAAUAAUGGAGAAAAAGUUCACAAAAGCGAUGCGCAUUUUUUAUGAGCAAGUUUGAUUUUACACGUCGGAGUCCGUUGUCGAGUCGUGACUUUCAAAGGAGUAGGUAGUAGACAUUGACGUGGACAUUAGCGUUUCGAGUAAUAUUUAUAACUUUUUUUUGUAAGUUCUUGGAGAUUUGUAAAUAUCAGACGUUAACAUUGUUUAAACUGUUCUAAUCUAAACUCAUAUUUAUUAGGCUGUAAACAGUCUUGAAAACAAUAAAGUAUACAUCUUUCUACAAAACAUUUUGUAUUAACAUGCUUAUCAAUUUGUUUUUAGUAUAUUUACAAGUGCUUUUUGGCAAGUUAUCACUGAAGGCGGCUUUAUCACGAGUCCCGCGUCACAGACGAUUAUUUUCAUCGGUUAAUUUUAGCGUACACAUAGUGAAUUUAAUACUGUGCCUACGUUUAGUGGACGUGACUAUCACUGACACGUGAUUCUCUUUGAGUAUAUAUUAUUCAAUGUCAUAAAAAUUUAAGGCAUGCUCAACAAAGCCGUUUUAGUUGCAUCUUUCGUUGCUCAUCGUACGUACGUUCUCUUGAAGCAAAUAGUCUAACAAAUAUAAAUUAUCCUGCAUGCGCAAACGUGAGUUGCCAUUCUUGAUGAAUUUGUCGGUGUCUACGAGAUCGACGAAAUCCUUAACACCUUUUGGCUUCACGGAGAGUCCUAUACUGGCUCCAUUUUUGUGCCAUCUAGCUUUCAGCAAAACGCAGCAACCUGGAUCUAAAAACAAGAACAUAUCACCGUUCUUUUCUAUUUGUAAAAAUUUAUGAUGUUAAUAAAAUAGAAAAAAUAUUAUUCCUUA